rnacentral:lncRNA from 1 species
UGGUCACCUGCACUAACAGCCUGAGAGAAAAGGACACUGCAUAUCACAGAGAGAUGCAUAGAUGUUACACUCAGAAAGAGAGUGAACAACUAGAAGAUGUGGAAGAACCAGUUUGGCUCUGGAGUCAAGAAUUCUCAAAACAGCUUUCUGAACCUGAAUCGCACGCAGUAAAGCUGGUGUUCUCCUGAAGCCAACAUUUAUGGUAUCACCUUGCUGAUCCAGGCAAAAUGGCAAAAGUGUAGUGAACAUAAAGCCAGGGGCUGAGAUUGUGGAUGUCCUCUGUACCAAGUUUCUUAUUAUGGUAAGGGUAGAAGUUCACCAGGUCAGUAAUGUGAUUUUGUCCAAAGAGCCAUUUCUGGAGAUCUAGCCUAAACAUUGCUCCUCCAACUCUUCCCAUAAUUUGUUAACAAUUGAAUAAUUGUUCUGUUUAAAAUAGUUUGGAUGUUUUAUGUUUUCUGCAACUUUACUGUUAUCAUAACAAAGACAUAAAUAAAGAUCUAAAUAAAGUCAAAAAAAA